rnacentral:lncRNA from 1 species
CCCGCUCAUAGGUAAAGAGCUACCCCGCUCAAGGUCAAUAGUCCCGCUCAUAGGUAAAGAGCUACCCCGCUCAGUAGGUAGGGUAAAGAGCUAACCCGCUCAUAGGUAAGAGUACGCCCGCUCAUCAAGCGUCAAGAGCUACCCCGCUCGUAGGUAAAGAGCUACCCCGCUCAUAGGUAAAGAGCUACCUCGCUCAAAGGUAAAGAGCUACCCCGCUCAAAUCUCACAGGAGAAGAGCUACCCCGCCCUUCGCCCGACUCACUUCCCAGUCCAAUGGGUGGGGAGCUACCCCGCUCGUAUCCCACCCAAUGAGCUACCCCGCUCGUGUGACAACUGAGGAUACCCUGUCAACUAGGUUAACCAUCACUUGAUAUUCUACCUAUCCCUAGGUCCAUGUCAAGUGUUUCAACCAUAUCAAAUCUCAAUGCCACUCACCUAGGUCUAAGCAACUCUAGGUUCCACAACACUAGGUUUAAUGUCAACCUAUGUUUAACAACAUUAUAUUAAUGCCACUCGAUCUAUCCUAGGUUCACGACACUAGGUUUAGAUGCCACAUAAUCUCCAUAAUUAACAAUAGGUUAACAUUCAUUUCAUCUAGCAUAUAUGUUCUAUAAGGCCAACAUGCAUCAUAAUGCUAAUAUGCCAUAAUCAACUAGCAUGCAAUCCAUUCAUAAUGCUACGUGCAUACAAUCUCCAUUACACUAGUUCACAUGUCACUAGUUUCAUUGUCAAGUCCAAGUUCUUUAUUCUCUUAUCAUCAUAGGAUCUCAUGUCUCAACCUUAAUCAUCAUGCAUUCUAGAUUUAAGUGUCAAGUCUAUAAUACUACACAACUAGACAUGCAUUCAAGGAAAGUAGAAAUGUAACUAUACAUAUAUCCUAUAAUGCAUAAGAACCAUAUAUAUGAAAUAUGAUCAACUAUUUUACUCGGAGAUAGAAGGAAGCCCGAUUGCUUCGGAUAGACACCCCCCACCUUUUUACAGCGUUCCGAUUGCUCGUCGUCACUCGCAAUCGGCCUCCCGCGGCACACGCCGCUCGGCUUGACCCAAUCUGCGCGCGACCACCGAACGACCUCCGAUCCGCGAUCCGAAAAUUAAAGGUCUUCGGUUUCUUGUCACGAUGCUUCAAAUCCGUUUCCACGAUUUUACGACGUCGCCUCGGCCCUCCAGGCGGAAACGAAGUCUAAACGUCCGUUUCUUUAAUAACUUCGCACUGGCUCGACGAAUCGCCGAACCGUCGCUUCCAACGCGUUUAGUGACCUAUCGAUUAGGUUUACGGAGGGUCAAAUUAGAUCAAACCCUCAUAUUUUGAAAAUUAACAUUUUGGAGCCUUAACAUGAAAUAACCUCCAAAUACUCCAAAUUAAAUGGAGCAAUAUGCUACUAAUGACUAUUAGAGGCUACUAGAACUCUUAAAGCUAAGGAUUAAGCCAAAUCCCAAAAGCUUACCCCAUUGUGAACGCCGCGACGAAAACACGCCGCUCCAACGGGCGCACGAAAGCUCGAUCCGUCGCUCCCAACGCGUUCACAAGCAUCUUCUCCGCCAACGCUGCGAAUUUGAGCGAGAAAUAUAGAGAGAUGAGAGAGAUCUCUAGAGAGAGAAAGGAGGGUUUCUCUCCCCCUUUCAUGCGUGCGUGUGUGUGGCCAUGGAGGCGGUGGUCGGUUGAAGGAGAAGAAGCUGAUGCUUCUAAUUAAAGUCAACACCAACACUAUUCACUCCAGGCAACUUAAAAUCUGAUAUCUUUCGCCGGAGCUCCCUGAAUAUCCGUUUGAGCUCAAAUCUGACAGUCAUAUUCGGUUUUACUUAAAGAGUCCAAAGAAAUUUUAAUAUUUCAGUUUCGACCCCGUUUGGUCACCGAAAACUGUGCCGAACUGUAAUCUUUAUCAGAUGGCUUUCGGAUUUUAUUUCUCACUCUACGGGUAUCAGAAAAAUAUGAAACUUAAAAUCUAGCCUCAUUAAAAUAUUUCUGACAUCCCCGCCAAUUUUCAUAAUUUUCUGAGACUGUGUAUUUUCUGCUAAUUUAUCUGCCCCGUUAUCAACAGAAAAAUCCAGAUCUUCUGUUUUCAUCCCGAUUUCAGCACAAGUCACUUCUGACUUAUGUUUUACUUCUCUAGAUCCAAUAAAAUAGUAUCUCAUNUGCUAAUUUAUCUGCCCCGUUAUCAACAGAAAAAUCCAGAUCUUCUGUUUUCAUCCCGAUUUCAGCACAAGUCACUUCUGACUUAUGUUUUACUUCUCUAGAUCCAAUAAAAUAGUAUCUCAUACUAUUUUUUUUAUUUAUAUUUUAUCUUUAUAUUUAAAUCCGGUAUAUUACAUUACACCGCAACCUUACCGGAACCAUUCAAAUGGCUCUCCAACCAAAUGGACACCGUAACCUCAUGAUUUUAGAAGUCCGGUACCUUACAACUGAAGUCCCUUCAGAACCAAUACUAAACCCUAGUAUAGAUAACACAGAAGAGAGACGAGAUGACCCCAUGAUACUAGAAGCAUCUUCUCCCAAACUAAAAAAUAUAGGGAAAAAACUUGAUUUUAAACUUCAUGCUAGUACCAUCCAUUUUCCUUUUAACAGAAAUCCCUAGACAUAGAUAAUGUAUAAAAAUAGGUAUAAGACAAAAUUAGGGUAUAGGACAUGAAAUGAAAACCUUUGUCUCACAGAUCAAAAUUAAACAUCCUAGUGUUAGUAGAUGUCUGAAUUAAUCUUCAUAUUGGACUUUAUAUUGUUCCCACAUACCUUUAAUAGAUUCACCUAGAAAUGUUUCUAAGUAUUUAUACAUUUCUUCUGUAUUGUCAGUAUUCAUGUAGUGCUGAUUUCUAAUAUAGUCUGCAACUACUAAUCCUUUCCAAAUGUCUAUUAUAGAGUCCCAAGUUUGGGGGUCAUGAGCGGCUAUAUUUAGUAUUUCCAGGGUGCAGUAGUGCAAAAGAAAUAUUUACAGGAAAAGAAGGGAAAGAAA